AAAUUGAAGAGUUUGAUCAUGGCUCAGAUUGAACGCUGGCGGCAGGCCUAACACAUGCAAGUCGAACGGUAACAGGAAGCAGCUUGCUGCUUUGCUGACGAGUGGCGGACGGGUGAGUAAUGUCUGGGAAACUGCCUGAUGGAGGGGGAUAACUACUGGAAACGGUGGCUAAUACCGCAUAACGUCGCAAGACCAAAGAGGGGGACCUUCGGGCCUCUUGCCAUCAGAUGUGCCCAGAUGGGAUUAGCUUGUUGGUGAGGUAACGGCUCACCAAGGCGACGAUCCCUAGCUGGUCUGAGAGGAUGACCAGCCACACUGGAACUGAGACACGGUCCAGACUCCUACGGGAGGCAGCAGUGGGGAAUAUUGCACAAUGGGCGCAAGCCUGAUGCAGCCAUGCCGCGUGUAUGAAGAAGGCCUUCGGGUUGUAAAGUACUUUCAGCGGGGAGGAAGGUGUUGUGGUUAAUAACCGCAGCAAUUGACGUUACCCGCAGAAGAAGCACCGGCUAACUCCGUGCCAGCAGCCGCGGUAAUACGGAGGGUGCAAGCGUUAAUCGGAAUUACUGGGCGUAAAGCGCACGCAGGCGGUCUGUCAAGUCGGAUGUGAAAUCCCCGGGCUCAACCUGGGAACUGCAUUCGAAACUGGCAGGCUUGAGUCUUGUAGAGGGGGGUAGAAUUCCAGGUGUAGCGGUGAAAUGCGUAGAGAUCUGGAGGAAUACCGGUGGCGAAGGCGGCCCCCUGGACAAAGACUGACGCUCAGGUGCGAAAGCGUGGGGAGCAAACAGGAUUAGAUACCCUGGUAGUCCACGCCGUAAACGAUGUCUACUUGGAGGUUGUGCCCUUGAGGCGUGGCUUCCGGAGCUAACGCGUUAAGUAGACCGCCUGGGGAGUACGGCCGCAAGGUUAAAACUCAAAUGAAUUGACGGGGGCCCGCACAAGCGGUGGAGCAUGUGGUUUAAUUCGAUGCAACGCGAAGAACCUUACCUGGUCUUGACAUCCACAGAACUUUCCAGAGAUGGAUUGGUGCCUUCGGGAACUGUGAGACAGGUGCUGCAUGGCUGUCGUCAGCUCGUGUUGUGAAAUGUUGGGUUAAGUCCCGCAACGAGCGCAACCCUUAUCCUUUGUUGCCAGCGAUUAGGUCGGGAACUCAAAGGAGACUGCCAGUGAUAAACUGGAGGAAGGUGGGGAUGACGUCAAGUCAUCAUGGCCCUUACGACCAGGGCUACACACGUGCUACAAUGGCGCAUACAAAGAGAAGCGACCUCGCGAGAGCAAGCGGACCUCAUAAAGUGCGUCGUAGUCCGGAUUGGAGUCUGCAACUCGACUCCAUGAAGUCGGAAUCGCUAGUAAUCGUGGAUCAGAAUGCCACGGUGAAUACGUUCCCGGGCCUUGUACACACCGCCCGUCACACCAUGGGAGUGGGUUGCAAAAGAAGUAGGUAGCUUAACCUUCGGGAGGGCGCUUACCACUUUGUGAUUCAUGACUGGGGUGAAGUCGUAACAAGGUAACCGUAGGGGAACCUGC
rnacentral:rRNA from 2 species